rnacentral:misc_RNA from 1 species
UCCGGCUUAUCACCGGCAGUCCCCUUAGAGUGCCCAACUAAAUGAUGGCAACUAAGGGCGAGGGUUGCGCUCGUUGCGGGACUUAACCCAACAUCUCACGACACGAGCUGACGACAGCCAUGCACCACCUGUGAUUCUGCUCCGAAGAGAAGCCGUGUUUCCACGGCGGUCAGAAACAUGUCAAGCCCAGGUAAGGUUCUUCGCGUUGCGUCGAAUUAAACCACAUGCUCCGCUGCUUGUGCGGGUCCCCGUCAAUUCCUUUGAGUUUUAGCCUUGCGGCCGUACUCCCCAGGCGGGGCACUUAAUGCGUUAGCUCCGGCACGGGAGGAGUCGACACCUCCCACACCUAGUGCCCAUCGUUUACGGCGUGGACUAC